UAUAUUUGGCCCCUUAAUUGCGAUAAACGCUAUUAACCGCAUAAAAAUUAUUUAAAUAAUAUUGGAAUG
rnacentral:ncRNA from 1 species